UUUAUAGGUUCUUAAUGAAUUGAUCCAUGUAGCUACUUGCAGCCAUGUAUUGUCAAAAUCAAUGCAUACUGCUGCUUCUCCUUGUCUUCGUCUCCCCCACUCCCCGUGGUGACUCCCCUGGCCUCAAUCCUUGGGGCCAGUGAAACUGCCUGACUCAGCUUCCCAGUAAACCUCCUUUUAAUUUAAAAAACAAAAGCAUGACAAACUCAGAAUGGGCAUAGUGACUAGUGCCUGUAAUUCAGCGUUCUGAAUGCAGUGUCAGGAAUAUGGUCAUAGGGUCAAGGCCCAGAGCAGCCUGGUCUGCAGAGCAAGUCACAGCCACUCAUGGCUAUGUGAUGACCCUGUCUAAAAAUUAAAACAAAAUAAAAGGUUCUGCAGUCUUGUGUUAGAUAACAAUAAAAUUAAAUAUAUGGGAUGCAUUCAGUAGUUAUGAAUACCCUAUGGUCCACCUCUUACUCUAACGCUAGGGGAUGACAUGGCAAGGCAGUGGCAGAGUCAUGUUUCUUUCCCUAAACACAGCAUCUGGUUCAGUUGUACAACCCAGAUUGCAAGGUGAGCAAGUCAGGGCUGGAUGAAUACAAAUGGUUAAUUAAGAGCUUGUGUGAGGGGCUGAAGAGAUGGCUCAGAGGUUAAGAACACUGACUAGAGGUCCUGAGUUCAGUUCCCAGCAACCACAUGGUGGCUCACAACCAUCUGUAAUAGAAUCUGAUGCCCUCUUGUGGUGUGUCUAAAGACAGCUGCAAUGUACUCAUUAUACAUCAAAUAAAUAAAUAAAUCCUUUAAAAAAAAAAAAAAAGCUUGUGUGAACUGGGCAUAGUCCCUUAGCACUUGAAGCAGGCAGAUCUCUGAGUUCAAAGUCAGCCUGAUCUACAGAUCAAAUUCCAGAACAGCUACACAGAAAAACCCUGUCUCAAAAAUAAAAUACGCUUAUGUGACAGAGGGAAGCCCUAAGAGCUAGUGUGUAAACUUCUUUUAAAUCUGAGUAUGUGUAGUCCCAUGGUAAACAAAACCUGCUAACUGCUACAACAUAAAUCCAAGGGUUUUGUGGGAUCUGCCCCUACUUUCCAUAUUUCUGUUAGGGAAGUGCAAGCUAGAAGAUUAGCAAACAGUCUCUGCAGUGCAGGUAGCUGACACAUCUUAAGAAAUUUCACAGUACACCUAGAAACCAGCAGGGGACAAAGGUAGUGUGAGAACUAAACAUUAGGACACAAAUGGCCCUCUGACUACUCAUCCUCAAGGCCUUAUCAGUCUCUCCUGAGGGCUGUAACAGUGGCGGCUGCCCGCCCAGUCUGUCCUUUCUGCCCGUUGUCCGUCUUCUGGGUCUCAGACCUAACCUACUUUUAAAGAAGGAAGAAUAAAUCCAUUACCAUGGCUUCUCACCCACCUGGCUCUGUGCCCAAACAGCCUUCGCUUGGAGUGACUUUCCUUUCUUUCUGUAAGACAACGUCGUCUGCAGUUCUCACCUUUGUAGCUGAAAGCCUGGGCCGCUUUUAUGUAUAGCAGAGUUAGAGAGGAAACUGACUUCUGCUUACAUUACAGUCAAGUUCUGCAGAUGUAACUGGUGGUUAGGGUGGCUUUGAUGGAGUUGUGGUGAAUUUGGUCUAUGGUCCAACCUGCUACCCAUUGAGUCCCAGAUUAAGCCAAGCAUUUCAGUUGGACUGUUAGAACCAUCCAGAAAACAGUGGAGAUGGCUCAGCUGCCUCAGAUGUGUGGCCAGGCUGGUCUUGCUGGGAUUCCAGGUGCACCAGCACAUACAGUAAGACUCACUGAGCGGGUGAGUAACUUACUCACAGGGCAACUUACUACACAUCGUGUUUCUAGAGUUAGUGUUUUGUGCAUGUGUGCCCCAGUCUUUCCUCUUAAAAGGGCUUUUUACCUGUCAGCUUGCCAUUUAGUGUGCUUGUUGGUUUGGUUUGGUUUGGUUUGGUUUGGUUUGGUUUGGUUUGGUUUGGUUUUUGAGACAGGGUCUCUCCUGGAACUCAUUAUAUAGACUAGGCUAAUACCAUACUGAAAGAGAUCCACCUGCCUCUGCCUCCCAAGUGCUGAAGUUAAAAGCGUGCACCACCACCACAACCAGCAACUUUUUUUUUUAUGAUGCUGUAAUUGAAUACAGGAAUGCUUUAGACAUGCUAAAUAAGCUCUGCACCUCUGAAUGAACUACAUCCUCAGCUCAAUUCUCUUUCCUAGAUUGGAGAGAGAUGGCUGCAUCAUUAAUGUAAGCAUUUAAGUGAAGGGUACCCUAUCUGGUACCCAGUGUCACAUGGUUUUAUGUGAUUAGUUCAGAAUCUGGUAUAUGUCUCCUGUAACAAAGGGACUGCACCCAGGCAUUGUAGCUCACACCUAAAACCAUGGCACUUACAAGACUGAAGCAGGAGGAUUGUUAUGAGUUAUAAGACUAGUCUGGGCUACAGAUUAAGACCCUGAUUCAAAAAUGAAAAUAAUAAUAACAUAGAGAAAGUUUUUUAUAACAGUGUUCCAGUAAUCCCUGCCAACUCCACAGUUGAAGCUGAGUUGGAAGCGGCUGUCAUCACUGACUAGAAGAUAAGAGAUGAAAGCACCACUUACCAAGCCAGGAGGUGACAGCACACACCUUCAAUCCCAGCGCUCGCUCAUAGGGCACACCUCUGAGUUUAAGCUCUACAGCCUGAUCUACAUAGCAAGUACCAGGACAGCCUAGAAAGACUCUGCUUCAAAACAC
rnacentral:lncRNA from 1 species